AUGGACGACGGGGACCUCGAUUUCUCCAACCCGGAGGCGUACCUCUGCUCGGACACCGGCGCCGGCUGCUCCAUGGACAGCUACUUCGACGGCAUCCUCAACGACGCGGAGCACCUUGCGUGCACCCACACCCACACCUGCAACCCGCCCGUCGACGACAGCUCGCACACCCACACCUGCGUCCACGUCCACACCAAGAUCGUCUCGGCGUCGUCGGAUGGCGGCGCCGCCGACUCCCCGGCCGAGAACAGCGGCGCCUCCAAGAAGCGGCGGCCGUCCGGCAACCGCGCGGCCGUGAGGAAGUACCGGGAGAAGAAGAAGGCCCACACGGCGCUGCUGGAGGAAGAGGUGGUUCAGCUGAAGGCUCUGAACAAGCAGCUGCUGAAGAAGCUCCAGAAUCACGCGGCGCUCGAGGCCGAGGCCGCCAGGCUCCGCUGCCUGCUCGUCGAUGUCAGGGGGAGGAUCGACGGGGAGAUUGGCGCUUUCCCUUACCAGCGGCCUGUGAAGAACGUCGAUUUGGUUUCUGGCGUUGAUCAGGGGGGCUUUCUUGGCAGUGCCCAGGUUAUGAACUCGUGUGAUUUCAGAUGCAACGAUCAGAUGUAUUGCAAUCCAGGAAUGCAGAUGAGAACUAUCGGUGAUGAUGGUGCUAUGAGUGGUCAGGUAUUUGGGCAAGGCACUGGGGAUAUUGCAAACAUCCAAUGCAUGGGGGGUGCGAAAUCUGGGCUCACAAUGCCCCCAGGCUGUGGGGGUAUGGGGACAAUGCCUUCUGGCUGUUUACCCAGUUCUGAAAAGCAGUGA
rnacentral:rRNA from 1 species